rnacentral:rRNA from 1 species
GUGCAUAAUUUUAGAUGUAUUCAUUAAUUAUACGUAAUGGACAUUACAUUUAAGUCCCCCUUUGGUAGCUUUUUCAGAGCUCCCUCUGCGAAUCUAAUGUAACUCGCCUAAUCUUCUAGAUUGUCUGCACCUUGAUCUGUAAUAUAGUAUACGUUACUAAUGGAUAAUAUAUUAUAUAUUAUCUGUUGACGACGGCAUACAAAAUUCUACAUGAAGUAGAUUACCUUGGUGGUUAUCAAUUACUUGGUAAGUUCCCCUAAAUUUUAAAAUUACCGCCAUGCUAUUUGAGUUUUAACCUAGUAGGUCUUAGUACUCAGUGUGUUGUUGCGGGUAUUGUAUAGAAGGGUAUCUAAUCCUUGUUUAUGUGCAAUAUUUAUAUAUAAUGGCAACUAAUUAGGUUGAAAAUAAUAUUUCACCAAUAUGUGUACUUAGCUGUAUAACACUUUUAGUAUUCAUAACUAUAGAAGUCUGACCGCGACUGCUGGCACUUUUUUAGUCAUAGUUAAUAAACUGGUUUAAUCUUACUUCCGUAAGUUUAUAAAUUUUCUUACCUGGAAACCCUAUAAGUACCAUAAGUAUCCUAUUUGGUACGAACGUUUUCACCAU